rnacentral:misc_RNA from 1 species
AACUUUCAACAAUGGAUCUCUUGGCUCUCGAAUCGAUGAAGAACGCAGCGAAAUGCGAUAAGUAAUGUGAAUUGCAGAAUUCAGUGAAUCAUCGAAUCUUUGAACGCACAUUGCGCCCGCUAGUAUUCUGGCGGGCAUGCCUGUCUGAGCGUCAUUUCAACCCUCAAGCAACCUCUGCUUGGUGUUGGGGAUCGGCCGUCAAAAGCCGCCCCCUAAAUCUAUUGGCGAUCUCGCUGUAGCUUCCUAUGCGUAGUAGUAACAUCUCGCAUCUGGAGAGCGGCGCGGUCAAGCCGUAAAACACCCCACUUUUUUCAGGUUGACCUCAGAUCAGGUAGGAAUACCCGCUGAACUUAAGCAUAUCAAUAAGCGGAGGCU